rnacentral:lncRNA from 1 species
UUUUUUUUUUUUGGUGCAUGCUCGUCUGCAGUUAUACUCAUGUUUGUUUUGUGCUGAUCGCAACCUAGCCAAAUGUGCCGGAAAACACAACAUGAUGGACUGAUAGAAGUCAAACCAUUGGGCUGGUAACAUUAUCCGGCAUCACCUAAGGGCACGGAUAAAUGUAGCAGUUUUGCAAAAAGCAAUGCAAUUCAGACGUACAUGUUCUACAAAUUGUUUUACGUACCAGUUCAUUGAAGCGACAAUUGCUAAAAUCAAUAAAGGUAUGGCACAUGACUGCGGACGAGCACGCAUCAAACAAACUAGUCCAUGCACGCGAACGUGACAGUUCAUUGGAGCGACGGUUGCUAAAAUCGUGGGAGCAGUUGCAAUCUAAAACAAACUAGUGAUAGGUAUGGAUUUUUUAAAGAUAUUUAUGUAAGAAUAUGAUUUUCCGUGUACUUUCGUUCUGAUGUAUACGCGCUUGGAACGUGCCAGAUACCAAUGCAAACGGAGUCAGAACGCUGAAAGCCCGUAUAAUACUAAACGGUGCAUGCACGCUAACACUGAAAAAUCCAAGAGCGGGGCGAGGCCACCUGAUGCAUGCAGUCGGAUGCAUGUGGUAGCACAUGCAGGACUCGCUCUAUUCCAUGCACGCGAUGCCCUGACGGAUAUAACACAUCCCCAAGCCAUGCAGCUUUCGCGCACAUAUUCAGUGUCCAUUAGUCAUUCAGGGAACCUGGCGCAUGCAUGCGACGCAGCCGACGGCCUCCUGCUUGUGUGUAUGUCUCAGCCUAGGCUAUGCCUUGUGCACGCAACGCGUGACCACCUGCACGGCACGGAUAUGGAAUAGUCAAUUCUUACCUUCUUGACCUCGAAUACAGUGCGCAGCAGUUUCUGUCCAUGCCUUGGCUAAGCAUGUCGGCGCUCACCACGGCGUCCACGGAGGUGCGUCAGGCCUUCUGAGCCAGAUCGGUAGAUGACGAGAGCUGCUGGCGAGAGUUGUAGCGAGGGGAUGGCUACUUGCUAUGUGGUGUGGUGGCACGGAGUGUUGAGUGAGGGGAGGGCUAUGGGGUGGUGCUUGUCGUUGGAGUGAUGGUCUGGCUAUGGGGUGGAAGUGGAACCCUGCAACUCUGUUCAAAGUCCCUGGAAUUCAUGCUGCUCCAAAGUCGAUGGACAGUCUGAAUGGUCAUGCACCUACUCCAUGUGCCUAAACAUUUUUUUAAUGAAGGGAUUCGCGCGCUCAUAUGAGCGUUCUCCGCCGGCAUGCACACCUCUGACAGGUAGAUAAAUAUGUUCUAACUUAAGCCGGUACAAAGAUCAGUACGUAAUUGUUCAUUUUAGUUAGCACCGCUCCCAUGGUAGGUAAUAUGUUUGUAGUGGUGCAUAGCCUGCAAUCGUUUUUCAGCCCCAAAAGGAUUAUGACCAGCCCCUGGUACACCAGUCAGCAUAUAAAUUUUGUACAGAUUGCAAAAGAAAAGGACGCCGGAAAAGAGUUUUCAUAUUUGCUGGCAUAAAUACUACUAGGCGGUGCACAAGUGCACAACGUGCAAUUUUUUCGAAAACAUACCACUUAGGACAUCUAUAAUGCCGACCCUCAAACUGCCCGCAUACGUCCGGGCCACGUGGUUCGGACGUGUUUUGCCAUCCAACAUGGUUCUGCAUCGGUCGGUUCAGUGGUUCGGAAGAACUUUUUCCCGGAAACCAGUGGCAAACUCAGGGGCCUUUGCGAGCGUCCGUACCACUGCCAUGCCCGUGUCUGGCAACCGUGGCCCAUCCAGAAACCCUCUUCCUGGUCCGUGUGCGUUCCUGCCGACGCUGGUGAGCACCUUUACAGAGCGUCAGCACCACAUUCAUGCCAGCCCAGACCGGACGCGACUUCUCACUGGAGCUAGCAUUGAAGCGGCGCGCCGCCCGAGAGCGUCGUUCGCGCCGCUUCCCGAUGCACACGACGUCUCCCUGCAUUCAAACGACACCAGUCCGUUCGCCUUCCUCCAUUAAAGGUGCCCGGUUGCUGAGAAACCUACUCCUACGCCACCCGUCUGUUUGUCUACUGCCCACCAUUAAGGACCUCUCCGCCUGGCCAUCCCUCUGCCUGCUAUUUAAACCCCAGACGGACAACACAGCCGCAUCCAUCCACCCUCUUCCACUCUCUAUCUCCACUCCGCACCACACCCGCCAUGGCUUCCUCGAGCUCCAAAGACUCGUGGGACGGUCUCUCAUCCGAACAGAAGGAGGAGAUCCCCGCCAUUGCGGCCGAUGGGCAAGAGCCGGCGCUACGGACACGCCAAUGGUAGAGGCGACCGACGACGAGCUGUUGCCACCAUCCGCAUCGACCAAUGCCGUCAUCACCAUGGGCGAGGCCCGUGCUCACUACACCGACAUGGCGCUAGAUGAGCAGGGGGGCGCGUUUUGGAAGGCGCAGGCCGAACAGACCUACAACCUCCGCCUCCUCGAUGAGCACCGGUGCACGGAGGAGCUACCCGGUGCCAGCGUGACCAUCGCACUGGACAUGGAAGUUGGCGAGCAGGAAGGAGCUGCCCCCAUUCCGUGAAUAAGCCUGUCAUCUCAAGGCCUAGGUUGCCAUUUCCAUCCACGGCCUCCUAAAGUGCACCACAUGGUUUCCUCUUCUGUAAACGUGAUCUCCAAUAAUGCAAGAAUUCGGAACCUUAUCCAUAUAGAAGUUCGGAUCUUGAUGCAAAUCAAGGGUUCCGAUAGCACACUCUGCUGCUAGUGUAGAUAGGAAAGCCGUCCUAUAUAUAUAUAUAUAUAUAUAUAUAUUCUUGGUUUACUUCCAUCAAACAUAAUAUAUAAAGGUUCUUCCUUGGAAUAUUUUUGUUCAACACAUUAAAAUAUUCUGCGAGACUACUGAUAUUAGACAACAUGUAUCCUUUCUCUUCUCUAUUCAUUGUGUGAUACCAAAGAUUAUCAUAUAAGCAUCCUUGGAUCUCAUCAAUACGGCUAUGACUCUUCGGUUUGAUAUUGAAUGUAUUUGGUAGAAAUAUUUUCAAUUUAUUAUCAUCUCCAAAUAUAAAGCAUUCACUUCCACCGCCGAGUGUUCCUUUCUUCAUUUCUGUAAAAUUUGUGAACGAGAAAAUAUGUCAGGUAAACUAUUAUCUUUUCCCUUAAUAUGGUCAAAUAUUAAUUUAUAUUCAUUCCCGACAAUAGUAUCUUCAAAUAAGACACAUCUUCUUGUCGAGUUUUUCUUACUAUUAAUUUUAUUGUAAUAUCGACAUAUAGCUUCAUAGUUUGUCCUUGAAUUCUCUGAAUACUAGAUAUAGCCUGUCAUUUAUUGCAUUUACUACUGCGAGGAUCUCGCUAUCAAUAUUGUUUACUAUUUUUUAAUUUAUAACUUCCUCGAGCAUAUACGCAUAAUUUUCUUCUGCUUUUGGGGAAUAUUUAUUAGGAUUUUGUUUUAGUAUAGCUCCCCAUCCCACCUUAGAUGCACCUAUUUCGAUUAUAAAGUAGUUGUUUUCUAAAGGAAGUUCUAGGGGUUUUAAAUUUCUGACUUUUUCCAUGAUGGCAUUUACUAGUUUUAUAUCUUCAGAAUUGAAAUAUCUUUGACCAUUUUUUCUUAAUUUAGGAUAUAAAGGUCCGGCUAUCUUUGCUAAGUUAUCUAUAAUUUUUCUUGCAUGUUUUACAAUUCCUAAGAAUUGUUGUAAAAUCUUUUUAUCACUCAUAUUUUCAGGAAACUCUAAUGUUUUCUUUGCAAUAUGUUCUUGUAAAUAUAUUUUUUUUCUUUUCCUAUUUCAUGACCAAGGAAAUUUAUUUUUUUCCUUGCAAAUUUCCAUCUUCGUUUUGGAUAAUAUGAGCCCAUUUUGUUCUAACUUACGAAAUAAUAAUUCAAGAUGGGAUGUAUGCUCUUUGUAUGACUUUGAGAUACUAAUAAAUCAUCUACAUAUACCAAUAUAAAUGCUUGAUUCUCAUCAAAUAUAUUUUGCAUUUUCCUUUGUAAUAGUGCAGGAGUAUUCGUUAGGCCCAAUGGCAUCACUAGCCAUUCACAAUGGCCUUGUGGACAAGUAAAUGUUGUCCAAGGGAUAAAUUCUUUAGCCAUUUUACUUGCCAAAAUCCCGCUUUUAAAUAAAAUUUAGAGAAAUAUUUGCUUCCUUGUAUUUUGUUAAUCUAGACCCUCUUAUUAAGUAUAUUGAAUGUGUCUUCUAUCGUAUUAUCAUUAAGCCUUUUCAAAUUAAUUACCAUUCUCGAUUUACCUCUUACAACUUUAGCAUGAUUUCUAACUAUAAAAGCAGCAGACCGAUAAGGGCUUCUGCUUUCUCUAAUUGCUUUUAAUUAGUAAAUCAUCAAUAUGCAGUUUGAACUCUUCAAAAUCUUUAGGAGUAGCUUAUAUUGGUCCUAACUUAAUUAUAUAAUCCGGGUUUAUGAUAUUAAUUUUGCAAACUAUAGAGUUCUUAUCCCAAUGUUACAUUGGUAUUUCCCCCAAUAAUUUGUAUAUUUUCUAGUCUUCGCACAGUCUUGUCUAUAUCUUUUUUGGAUUUUAUAUCUCUAUACCAACUUGGAGAGAAUGAUUGUAACCCUAUACAUUUUGUAUAUGUAUUUCUAUGUGAUAUUCUUCUAUGGUCUCACUAAGUUCUUCUUCUUUACAGAAAUCAAGGGGAUUUGAACUUGUGUUAUAUUCAACAUCUAAAUUAUAUAUUUCUACAUUUUGUAAAUCCUUUCUUUGUUUCUGUACUUCGGAUAUUUAUGGAACAUUAUCUUGAUAUGGAAUAAAUGUAACCCAUUCUUCAUGUAUAAUCAUGGUUUGUAAAGAUUGUUGUAAAAAUCUCAACCCUAUUACCAUAUCAUCAUUUAUUACUAACAAAUCUAUUAUUGUAUAUUUCAUGCCAUUUAUGUAAGCCUCAAUAUCAUAUGCCAAUUGGUUAUGGAUUUUCUUUAUUCCAGACAUAUCAUUAGAUACUUCGGCUUUAUUAUCAUCAAUGGUUUCUACUAGUUUGGGACAUCUCACAAAAUAUUUAUCAUGGAUUAUGUUCUUUGUGCAACCCAUAUCUAAUAGUGCCAAUAUUUUAUAGGAAAUAUUUUGCCUUAGAACUAUUCUAACUGGGAUCCUUAUCCCUAGCACUUCUUUGAAUGGUAAUCGAACGAUAUAUUUGUUUCCAAACUAGUUAUUGCAUCUUUUAAUUGUAUUAAUCUGUCUCCAUUUUUAUCUCUUACCGUUACCAUUUGCUCUUUCAUCUACAUGCUUUUAGCAACAUUAUCUUCUCGCUCUUUACUAAUCUCUAACUCAUCUUUUAGUUUUUCUCGCUCUUGCUUCUAGUUUAUUUAUUCUAUUUUAUGAGUUUCUAACCCUGCUAAUAGUAUUCUUUCUUCUGGUUCAAACUCUACGCGAUUAGACUAAUAUUCUACUCACUCUCCAAUAUUUAAUUCUUUAUUACUAUUUGCACAGUCUAUUCUUUAUUAAGCUGGUUAUAUCUUAUUCUACGAUCUAUUAGGGGCUGGUGAGGCCAACAGAACAACCGAUGGUGUGCACGCAGUGGUAUGAUGUCCUACUCAGUACUCAUCAUAUUUUUUAUUAUUAUGUUGUAUCAGAUGUAGCUAGUUUCAUUCACUUGAUGUUUUUAAAUACAAACUUACGUCUUCCCAGGCAAUUUCAUCCGAAAAAAACACUUCUCUACGGCCACAAAGUUCUCAUUCAAAUGCCACAAGACUAAACAAAGGACUACCGCCAGAGGUUUCUCCUAUCGGAUCCCUAGCAUAAGAACUCCCAUAAAUUCAUUAAAAAAUCAAAUGAAGUACGAAACUUCAUUUCCAUAACAUAAUUUACAUAUGGUUUUCCCUUUCGGGAGGCCCGGAAGGGAUUACACAAGCUAAAAGGAUACCUUAUUAUUCUUGGAGAUUACAGGCCUUCGAUAUGGUGGCUAUUCCACAAGUGGUGGUGGUACUAUUAGUAAGGUCAGAGUGCGCUGGAGGCUCUUCUAGCUCGAAGCUCUAGACUCCGUAUCGUCUGUGUCUUCUCACAGCGCUCAGCCCUCCUUUUUAUAGUGCGUGAGGGAUGCCACCGCUGAAGUGCCUCAAAAUUUGUACAAUCAGCCAUGCAUGACUCCCAUGCUAGACUGAUGUUUUUGUCCAAACUAAGAACUUUGUCUAGACUGGGAACUUUGUCAUGCACUGUUGUAUGCCUUGUAUCCAAGUGAGUAUAGAAUGAAUAAAGUUAUAACUCGCAGUAGAACAUGCAGAGUUGUUAAGUUUUAAAACAACAAGAGGGGUCAAAACCCUACCAAGUUAUUUCACCAGACUAGAUAACUCACCAAGUAUGAUUAAGUUCCUCUUGAGAAACAACUAGCACUUGCCAUUUACCAACCGCAAGCACUGGGGCCAGACAAUGCUGAGCGCAACUGAGGGGGUGCACGUUGAAAUUACUGAAACUCACAGGUUCCAGACCAAGGUGCAAUAUCACAGUAUCAAAACAUUUCACGAAAAGGAAAACAAGCGGCCCGUUCAAAUACAUUAAUAACACCAUCAAACAAAAUUUGACUCCGCUCCGCACAAGUGCAGAGUAAACCGAAGGUACAACCAUAUAGUUCAACAACAAUGUAGUCUAACAAACAAAGCGGAACACAGAGCAAAUGCCAGAUAAAAAUAAAAUUGCAAUAGAUAGUAGUAUCUCCAGCUGCCAGAUUGACACUGAAGCCUCCCCCGAUGCCCAGCACGAAAAAUGGCAGUGAUCCAAUAGUUCCUGCAUAAGGAUA